GGUAAAAUCUGACCUCUCCUUAUCCCACUAGCAGCCUGCCUGACCUUGUUCAUAGAACAGCCUCGUCUUACGGGCAUCAGACCAGUCCAGCCAGGUCAAGGUGUGGACUGCACAUUGAAGCCCACAGAAUUAGCUAAGCUAACCGGGAACCCAGUUGGAAAAUUACAAGUGCCCUGGAUCUACAAAGCAGAGAUUAUUUCAUCCAAAGGAAUGCAGCCACCCUCGAGAAAGUGCAGUUCUACAAUAAAGGAAAAAAGUCAAUCCAUAAUACCAAUAAG